rnacentral:rRNA from 1 species
GACGAACGCUGGCGGCGUGCUUAACGCAUGCAAGUCGAACGAAGAGCGAUGGAAGCUUGCUUCUAUCAAUCUUAGUGGCGAACGGGUGAGUAACGCGUAAUCAACCUGCCCUUCAGAGGGGGACAACAGUUGGAAACGACUGCUAAUACCGCAUACGAUCUAACCUCGGCAUCGAGGAUGGAUGAAAGGUGGCCUCUAUUUAUAAGCUAUCACUGAAGGAGGGGAUUGCGUCUGAUUAGCUAGUUGGAGGGGUAACGGCCCACCAAGGCGAUGAUCAGUAGCCGGUCUGAGAGGAUGAACGGCCACAUUGGGACUGAGACACGGCCCAGACUCCUACGGGAGGCAGCAGUGGGGAAUCUUCCGCAAUGGACGAAAGUCUGACGGAGCAACGCCGCGUGAGUGAUGACGGCCUUCGGGUUGUAAAGCUCUGUUAAUCGGGACGAAAGGCCUUCUUGCGAAUAGUUAGAAGGAUUGACGGUACCGGAAUAGAAAGCCACGGCUAACUACGUG